GGGUUGUGAGGUUAAGCGACUAAGCGUACACGGUGGAUGCCCUGGCAGUCAGAGGCGAUGAAGGACGUGCUAAUCUGCGAUAAGCGUCGGUGAGGUGAUAUGAACCGUUAUAACCGGCGAUUUCCGAAUGGGGAAACCCAGUGUGUUUCGACACACUAUCAUUAACUGAAUCCAUAGGUUAAUGAGGCGAACCGGGGGAACUGAAACAUCUAAGUACCCCGAGGAAAAGAAAUCAACCGAGAUUCCCCCAGUAGCGGCGAGCGAACGGGGAGGAGCCCAGAGCCUGAAUCAGUGUGUGUGUUAGUGGAAGCGUCUGGAAAGGCGCGCGAUACAGGGUGACAGCCCCGUACACAAAAAUGCACAUACUGUGAGCUCGAUGAGUAGGGCGGGACACGUGGUAUCCUGUCUGAAUAUGGGGGGACCAUCCUCCAAGGCUAAAUACUCCUGACUGACCGAUAGUGAACCAGUACCGUGAGGGAAAGGCGAAAAGAACCCCGGCGAGGGGAGUGAAAAAGAACCUGAAACCGUGUACGUACAAGCAGUGGGAGCCUCUUAAUGGGGUGACUGCGUACCUUUUGUAUAAUGGGUCAGCGACUUAUAUUCUGUAGCAAGGUUAACCGAAUAGGGGAGCCGAAGGGAAACCGAGUCUUAACUGGGCG
rnacentral:rRNA from 1 species